rnacentral:rRNA from 1 species
GACAGAGGGUGCAAACGUUGUUCGGAAUUACUGGGCGUAAAGCGUGCGCAGGCGGUUUUGUAAGACUGUCGUGAAAUCCCCGGGCUUAACCUGGGAAUGGCGAUGGUGACUGCAAGGCUAGAGUUUGGCAGAGGGGGGUAGAAUUCCACGUGUAGCAGUGAAAUGCGUAGAUAUGUGGAGGAACACCGAUGGCGAAGGCAGCCCCCUGGGUCAAAACUGACGCUCAUGCACGAAAGCGUGGGGAGCAAACAGG